rnacentral:lncRNA from 12 species
CCCCCCCCCCCCCCCCCCCCCCCCCCCCCCCCCCCCCCCCCCCCCCCCCGUAUGGGAAAUGUGUGUAUGGGAAUGGGGUGUGUAUGGGAAUGGUGUGUGUAUGGGAAUGGGGUGUGUAUGGGAAUGGGGUGUGUAUGGGAAUGGUGUGUGUAUGGGAAUGGGGUGUGUAUGGGAAUGGGGUGUGUAUGGGAAACGUGUAUGGGAAUGGUGUCUCCCCAGUGUCAUUUCUGACCCACUGCUGCCCUCACCACCUCCCCUUUGCUGUUGGCAAAACAAGACCUGUGGUGAUAAAAGGGGAGAAUUUUCUUCCCUGGUGUGCCUCCGGGUAAGAGCUCAGUUUGAGGAACUCCCCAGUACCCACAGAGAGGUUUUCCUUCCCUUCCCACAGAUGUAAGGAGCUCUGCUGAGCCCGAGCACUGCUGGGCACGUGUAAAACUCUCCACACUCCCUGACAUUCAUAUGUCAGUGUCCCC